UACGUAGGGGGGCGAGCGUUGUCCGGAUUUAUUGGGCGUAAAGAGCUCGUAGGCGGUUUGGCAAGUCGGGUGUGAAAACUCCGGCUCAACUCGGAGACGCCACUCGAUACUGCUAUGACUCGAGUCCGGUAGGGGAGUGCGGAAUUCCUGGUGUAGCGGUGAAAUGCGCAGAUAUCAGGAGGAACACCGGUGGCGAAGGCGGGUCUCUGGGCCGAUACUGACGCUGAGGAGCGAAAGCGUGGGGAGCAAACAGG
rnacentral:rRNA from 1 species